AUGAACCAGUUCGUCCCGGCAGAUUGGACCGGUAACAUGGGAGACGCCCUGCCGCCGUUAAGCGGCGAAGACGACGGCCUCGUCGAGCUGCUGUGGUGCAGCGGCCACGUCGUCAUGCAGAGCCAGGCGCCGCCAAGGCCGGCGGUGCCCGAGCAGGAGGCGGCGCCGUGGUUCCAGUACCCCGUCGUCGAUGAAGACGACUACUCCGUCGAGAGGGACCUCUUCUCGGAGAUCUUCGGCGGAGUGCCGGCGGAUGGCGCAGGCAGGCCGUGCAAAGAGGAGGAUAAGGAGCGAGGCGCCGCGGACGCGGUGACCGCGCUCCGAAGCGGGGUGAUGCCGCCGCCGCUGCUGACGGAUAAAGCAGGGUUGCACGGCGACGGCCCGCGCGACUCGCCGGCGUCAGAGGCCGGCGAGUCCUCGGUGGUCACGAUGGGUUCCAGGAGGGUCUGCGGCGGGAGCAACCAGGCCCAGACGCCCCACGUCUCGGAUACCGCCGACGACGACAGCGUGCUGCUGCCGCGGAGCGGCAGGGAAGCCAGGGACGCUAGGUCCUACCACAGCGCGUCGGCGACGUUGACCACGUCGUCGACGUGGUCGAGGCCUUCCGGCGCCAGCAAGCGGAAGCAGAGCGAGGGCCCCAGUGAGGCUAUGCAGGACGUGGAGUCGGACUCCGCCGACGUGACGUGCGAGACGGCGCAGAAGCCGACUACAGCCAAACGGCGGCGCGCCGCCCAAGUGCACAACCUCUCGGAGAGGAGGAGAAGGGACAGGAUCAACGAGAAGAUGAGGGCCCUGCAAGAACUCGUACCCCACUGCAACAAAACGGACAAGGCGUCGAUGUUGGACGAGGCGAUCGAGUACCUCAAAUCGCUGCAGCUGCAGCUGCAGGUGAUGUGGGCUAUGGGCGGCCGCAUGACGCUGGCGCCGGCGCCGGUGAUGUUCCCGGCGGGCGCCCACCAGUACAUGCAGCGGAUGGCCGCCAUUCACGACCUGCGUAUACAGUUCAAAUGA
rnacentral:rRNA from 1 species